rnacentral:tRNA from 1 species
GGAGGCAGAUAGGUGCUGGUGUGCCUUCCGGUCUUCAAAACCGGCGCGGGUGGUUAAGAGCCGUCUGGGUGAGUUCGAUUCUCACAUGCCUCCGCCA